GAUGAACGCUAGCGGCAGGCCUAACACAUGCAAGUCGAGGGGUAACUAGAGUGAUAGCAAUAUUACUUUGGCUAGACCGGCGCACGGGUGCGUAACACGUAUGCAACCUACCUUAUACUGGGGAAUAACUUCGAGAAAUCGGCGCUAAUACCCCAUAACAUUGCGAAGAGGCAUCUCUUUGCAAUUAAAGCUCCGGCGGUAUAAGAUGGGCAUGCGUCCAAUUAGCUAGUUGGUGAGGUAACGGCUCACCAAGGCUACGAUUGGUAGGGGUUCUGAGAGGAAGAUCCCCCACACUGGUACUGAGAACCGGACCAGACUCCUACGGGAGGCAGCAGUGAGGAAUAUUGCGCAAUGGACGAAAGUCUGACGCAGCCAUGCCGCGUGCAGGAUGACGGCCCUAUGGGUUGUAAACUGCUUUUGUACGGGAAUAAACCCUUCUACGUGUAGGAGGCUGAAGGUACCGUAAGAAUAAGCACCGGCUAACUCCGUGCCAGCCGCCGCCGUAA
rnacentral:rRNA from 1 species